CGGACCUAUGGCGCAACGGUAGCGCGUCUGAUUCCAGAUAUUCCCAAAUUUGGAGUCUCCAGAAGGUUAGCUGUUCGAAUCAGCUUAGGUUCAUUUA